GCUCACCUGCGCCCCAGGUGAGCAGCGAGGGGGGGCGGGGGGAGGGGCCGAGCUGGAGGCGGCUCACCUGGCGGGACAGGCGUCUGGCUACAGCGGACGAUGCAGUGAGCCAUGCCCCGCCCCGGACACCCCCGCCCAUCAUCCGGGCCCCCACGCUUGGGACCGUGGGAGCGGCCAGCAGAGCUAUGCCUGGAGACCUACGAUGAGCCAUCCCGGGCCCCACCGAGCCGCCGCACCCGCAGGCCAGACCCCAAGGACCCCGGGCACCACGGGCCCGAGAGCCUUACCUUCAUCUCUGGCUCUGCCGAGCAGACUCCCGAGCCCCCUGCCUGCUGCCUGCUCUGGCGACCCUGGGUGUGGGACUGGUGCCGGGCGGCCUUCUGCUUCCGCCGCUGCCGGGACUGCCUCCAGCGCUACGGGGCCUGUGCGCGGGGCUGCAGCCCCUGCUUGUCCUCGGGGGACUCCCCUGAAGGGGCCGCCGAAGCCAGCUGGGUCAAGGAACACAACGGCGUGCCCCCCAGCCCUGACCAUGCGCCUCCCAGCCGGCGGGAUGGCCAGCGGCUCAAGUCGGCCAUGGGGAGCAGCUUCAGCUACCCCGACGUCAAGCUCAAAGGCAUCCCAGUGUACCCUUACCGCAGCGCCACCUCCCCCGCCCCCGACGCGGACUCCUGCUGCAAGGAGCCGCUGGCUGACCCCCCGCCCAUGCGGCACAGCCUGCCCAGCACCCUCGCCAGCAGUCCCCGGGGCUCCGAGGAGUACUACUCCUUCCACGAGUCGGACCUGGACCUGCCCGAGAUAGGCAGUGGCUCCAUGUCCAGCCGAGAGAUCGACGUGCUCAUCUUCAAGAAGCUGACAGAGCUGUUCAGCGUACACCAGAUCGACGAGCUGGCCAAGUGCACCUCAGACACUGUGUUCCUGGAGAAGACCAGUAAGAUCUCGGACCUUAUCAGCAGCAUCACCCAGGACUACCACCUGGAUGAGCAGGACGCUGAGGGCCGCCUGGUGCGCGGCAUCAUUCGCAUCAGUACCCGCAAGAGCCGCGCCCGCCCGCAGACAGCAGAGGGGCGCUCAAGCCGGGCGGCCGCCCCAGCUGCCACCGCCCCAGACAGCGGCCACGAGACCAUGGUGGGCUCAGGGCUCAGCCAGGAUGAACUCACAGUGCAGAUCUCCCAGGAGACGACCGCAGAUGCCAUUGCCAGGAAGCUGAGACCCUAUGGAGCCCCAGGUUUGGUCCCGACGUGAUGAGGAGUGCGGAGAGGAGAGGGGACAGCCCUCGCGGCCCCCAACCUGCCCCUCUCCCAGCUUCCUCCUGGGGAUACCCUGCCAGCCACGACUCAUCCUUCCAGGGCACCGACACAGACUCUUCAGGGGCACCGCUGCUCCAGGUGACCUGCUAACCCUCGCCAGGCCCAGCGCUGCCUCCCCAUCUGAGAGGACAGUCUACAGCAUGAGGAGAGGGACCAGAGCCCCCCUUUGUGGGAGGCAAGGCCGUGAGCCCAGAAGCAGUGCCCACUCCGGCUCCUCCCGCCUUGGCUGAAUGGUUCCCGAGCCACAUGCAUUUCACUGGGCUGUGGCGCCCCCGUUCCCCUGGGGUCCCCCGCUGGCCUGGCCCCUGCCUGGGCCUGUCCUUCCUGCCCCGUCUUCAGGAGGCCUGGGUCAUGGAAAGCAAAAGCUGAGGAGGGGACUUCUGGGAUUGAAUCCUGACUCCAUCCCCAUAACAUGCUCCCCCUGUAACAUACAACCCAUAAUCUAUCAUACAGUCCUCCCCCUCCCCAGGACAGAGCGGGUAACAGCUCAAAGAAGCUUGUCUUAAAUGUAUUGGGUUUGAGGGCAGGCAGAACCUCUGUCUGGAACUCUGUGGGCAGUGCCCACUCCAUGUUAUGUUCUGUUGAGCAGUUAGGUUCCUGGCUGGUGUUCUACAUACUAAUGUGACCAUAGUACAAACUUAAUAGAUAUCUGUCUGCUCAU